rnacentral:rRNA from 1 species
GAUGAACGCUGGCGGCGUGCCUAAUACAUGCAAGUCGAGCGAACGGACGAGAAUCUUGCUUCUCUGAUGUUAGCGGCGGACGGGUGAGUAACACGUGUAUAACCUACCUAUAAGACUGGGAUAACUUCGGGAAACCGUAGCUAAUACCGGAUAAUCUUUUGAACCGCAUGGUUCAAAAGUGAAAGACGGUCUUUCUGUCACUUAUAGAUGGAUCCGCGCUGCAUUAGCUAGUUGGUAAGGUAACGGCUUACCAAGGCAACGAUGCAUAGCCGACCUGAGAGGGUGAUCGGCCACACUGGAACUGAGACACGGUCCAGACUCCUACGGGAGGCAGCAGUAGGGAAUCUUCCGCAAUGGGCGAAAGCCUGACGGAGCAACGCCGCGUGAGUGAUGAAGGUCUUCGGAUCGUAAAACUCUGUUAUUAGGGAAGAACAUAUGUGUAAGUAACUGUGCACAUCUUGACGGUACCUAAUCAGAAAGCCACGGCUAACUACGUG